GCCAAACUUGUCUUUCCUUCCAGAAGCCCACAGGGCAGGCAGGAAUGCAGGAGACAGGGCUAAGAACCCCAAAGACACACAACACUGAGGGCCUUCAGCCUGGACAGAUUCAGAAAGCUUCAGGGAGGGGCAGGCUUAGGUUGCUGCCCGCCAGUGGACUCCAUGAAAAGCCCUGAGAAGGAGGCCCACAUUCUGGAAGCAGAGAAAAUGUGCAUCAACCCCCAGCCUAGCGCAUCUAGCACUGCACUCCCGGAGGAGGGGCUUCAUGCCCAAUGUGGAGCCCAACGUGGGACUUGAAC